CCGAGUUUACAACUCCCAAACCCAAUGUGAACGUUACCAAACUGUUGCCUCGGCGGGAUCUCUGCCCCGGGUGCGUCGCAGCCCCGGACCAAGGCGCCCGCCGGAGGACCAACCAAAACUCUUAUUGUAUACCCCCUCGCGGGUUUUUUACUAUCUGAGCCAUCUCGGCGCCCCUCGUGGGCGUUUCGAAAAUGAAUCAAAACUUUCAACAACGGAUCUCUUGGUUCUGGCAUCGAUGAAGAACGCAGCGAAAUGCGAUAAGUAAUGUGAAUUGCAGAAUUCAGUGAAUCAUCGAAUCUUUGAACGCACAUUGCGCCCGCCAGUAUUCUGGCGGGCAUGCCUGUCCGAGCGUCAUUUCAACCCUCGAACCCCUCCGGGGGGUCGGCGUUGGGGAUCGGCCCUUUACGGGGCCGGCCCCGAAAUACAGUGGCGGUCUCGCCGCAGCCUCUCCUGCGCAGUAGUUUGCACACUCGCAUCGGGAGCGCGGCGCGUCCACAGCCGUUAAACACCCCAAACUUCUGAAAUGUUGACCUCGGAUCAGGUAGGAAUACCCGCUGAACUUAAGCAUU
rnacentral:rRNA from 1 species